ACGAAGGGGGCUAGCGUUGUUCGGAAUAACUGGGCGUAAAGCGCACGUAGGCGGAUUGUUAAGUGAGGGGUGAAAUCCCAGGGCUCAACCCUGGAACUGCCUUUCAUACUGGCAAUCUUGAGUUCGAGAGAGGUGAGUGGAAUUCCGAGUGUAGAGGUGAAAUUCGUAGAUAUUCGGAGGAACACCAGUGGCGAAGGCGGCUCACUGGCUCGAUACUGACGCUGAGGUGCGAAAGCGUGGGGAGCAAACAGG
rnacentral:rRNA from 1 species